UACGUAGGGUGCAAGCGUUAAUCGGAAUUACUGGGCGUAAAGCGUACGCAGGCGGCUUUGCAAGACAGGUGUGAAAUCCCCGGGCCUAACCUGGGAACUGCAUUUGUGACUGCAUCGCUAGAGUCUGUCAGAGGGGGGUGGAAUUCCACGUGUAGCAGUGAAAUGCGUAGAGAUGUGGAAGAACACCGAUGGCGAAGGCAGCCCCCUGGGAUGAGACUGACGCUCAUGUACGAAAGCGUGGGGAGCAAACAGG
rnacentral:rRNA from 1 species